rnacentral:rRNA from 1 species
AGCGAACGCUGGCGGCAGGCCUAACACAUGCAAGUCGAACGAACUCUUCGGAGUUAGUGGCGGACGGGUGAGUAACACGUGGGAACGUGCCUUUAGGUUCGGAAUAACUCAGGGAAACUUGUGCUAAUACCGACUGUGCCCUUCGGGGGAAAGAUUUAUCGCCUUUAGAGCGGCCCGCGUCUGAUUAGCUAGUUGGUGAGGUAAAGGCUCACCAAGGCGACGAUCAGUAGCUGGUCUGAGAGGAUGAUCAGCCACAUUGGGACUGAGACACGGACCAAACUCCUACGGGAGGCAGCAGUGGGGAAUCUUGCGCAAUGGGCGAAAGCCUGACGCAGCCAUGCCGCGUGAAUGAUGAAGGUCUUAGGAUUGUAAAAUUCUUUCACCGGGGACGAUAAUGACGGUAACCGGAGAAGAAGCCCCGGCUAACUUCGUGCCAGCCGCCGCGGUAA